GGAGGUUACUGAAGUAAUAUGUGUUUUUUAACUCAAAUGGAAAGGAUUUGGGAAAUUAGCUUUUCUAAUUUCUGAUUGAGCUUAUCUAGUGAAAAUCUGCCAUAACCACUAAUGCCAUUCAAGAUGCUCAGCCUUUGAGGUCAGCAAAUAUACUGGUCAGUACAUCCCAGUGAAGAAACAUCCUCAGGCAAAUCAGAGCCUGAGGAAUAUAAAAACAUCCAGGGUAAUAAUAAUUGACAUUAUUUGCUUUUCAUAUGGCUGCCAUCAUUUGUUAAAUAUGAAUAGCUUGAAAGAGAAAGCUUUCCUACAGCAAUCCGUUCCUUUUAUCUCUCUGCCCAUAAAAAUCAAGACACAAUUCUUUACUUUUACCAUCAUCACCUGUUGUCAUAGAAACUAUUGCAACACAUAAGUACUGCAAAUGACUGCAACUUCAUUGAAUGGACAGGGAUGGAGAUGGGCCCCCGAAGGGGAACACUUUAGUUUAAACAGGUGUGUCUAUAAUAAUGGUGGGCGAUAAGAGGAAUCAUUCAAUAUCACAACAAUGUAGCACGAACAACAUCUAUUAUCAUGCUAACAAUAUCCUAAAAGGGUAUUUACUGAACCUUUUGUUUAUUUCAUGGCAUUGUUUUCCACAAGAUAUGCAAAUGUGCCUGAAAACAAGGAGGCUCAUUGUCGUGGUAUGAAUGAAACACUACACCCAAGUUCUGUGAGAAUGUUACUAUGACUCCUGGGAAAGGAAUAGAGAGGGUUUCUAUCUAACAUUUUCUCUUAGUUUAUACAAGAACUGCUUAACGUACUGUGUGUGUACAUGAACAAGUUCCCCAAAUUAUUUCAUCAUCAAAUGCAUUUCUUUUUUGUUAGUAAUUUUUAUAGCACCUGAAAAUUGACGGCAUUCUCUCCAGCUUAUCUGUAGCACAGAGCUGUUCCCCAGAAUCAGAAGGCCAGAAGUGAACACAACACCUUUGGCUCAGCUGAGCUAAAUAAGCAUGAUAGCAAGUCAAGAUAGAUAUCGUAUUUACCCGAAUCAAAGGUUACUCUGAAUUUAGGAGGACUCCCUUUUACAGUAGAAAUUUAUUUAUUUUUCUGAAUGAAUGAAAGAAUCGUAGAGCUUAAAUACAGUACAGUCAUCCCUUGCCUACUGCUAAGGUUCCAUUCUGGCAAAACCUCACUGUUGGCAAAUUCGCAGUUGGUGAGGCAUUAAAGUCUAUGGAAAACAGGGGGUUAGGAGAACCAUGACCACAAAAAGACCUAAAAAUAAAGGCGGGAAAUACCAUUUUUUUCUUUCUAAAAACCACAACAAAACAAAUCCUGAAAUAUCGCCAAGAGUCACAAGAAGAAUGAGCAGACCAAACCUUUGAACAUUUUUGAGCUCCCUAAAAAACUCAAAGGCAUUUUAAAAUGACAAGGCACAGCAAGUUCAGCAAGGGUUAGCAAGGGUCACCAAGAGGAAUGAGCAAAUCUAACCUCUGAAGCCCCCGAAAUCACUGAAACCCCUCCAAAAUCACUAAAAAAACCUCACCAAACACGGAUACUCAGGUCACGGUUGGCAAGAUCUGUCACACUUUCCCAUUCACAUAUACUCAAAACUGCGGUUGGUAAAACCGUGGUUGGCAAGGGAUGACUGUAUACCUGAUUGCUGCAGGUACUCUCCCUUCCCUGCCACAUAUCUGUCACAGUUGGAAACCCCUAGCCACAGAAGAAUCUUUACCCUCGCCCAUGUCCUGUUCUUCCCUUCACUGUACUGGAAGGCAAAUACAGAAAGAUCCCAAUGGCAGAAAGACUUUGCCCCUGUGACUCUGGGGAGGUAGAAACCACAGAACAUGUACUUCUCCUUUGCCCCUUUAAUAGAGAUGUUCGGGCCAAGUUUAUUCACUGCUGCUUUGCAAGUAUCCCAACCACCUGAACCCUGUCUACACCUGAAUGCUACUUUCUGAUGAAGUUCUGGUCUUCACGUUUAACACCGCCAAGUUCUGUGUGGCAACAUGUAAGAUCCGCCGGACUAUGAUGGCCAGGACCUCGCACCAAUUCUGAAGAGAUUUGAUCUGUUGUUGAUACAAUCCGCUAGUGCUCCUUUCUUAUACAUUUUGCUUUAGUCAUGUUAGUACAUUAGGAUUUUAGUAAUUUCAUAGUUUUUGAAGGUAGCAGUUUUUGAGUAUUAUACAAUAGAUUUUAAUAUUAGAGUGAUAAUAUAGUGUUAUGGUUCCUUAUGUAGUGAUUUAUACUGAUUUUAGAGUAUUGAAUUAGCUUUUUAGUAGUAGUUUUAUAGUCAUCUCUACAACUUUAGAGCAACAGUUUUUAGUAUUUAUAGUCUACAAUAAAUAAUAAUACUAAUUAAAUAAUAAUAAUUUAUAACUUUGAAUAGUUUCAGUAAUUUUAUCAUUAAUUAUAUUAUAGUUUACAGUAAUUAUAGUCUAUAAUAAUUGUAAUGCAAUUCUAAUGUUGAUUUUAAUUUUGACCAUGCCAUUUUAUAAUUACUUUUUAGUGUUGCUCCACUAAAGUCCACUUUAGUGU